UUAAAAAGCUCGUAGUUGGAUUUCUGUGUUGGUGAGGCGGCCGGCCACUCGUGGUUGUAGCUAGUUAUCACCGGCGCAUCUUGUCACAAGCCACGCUGGCCUUAACUGGUUGGCGUUGGGGACUGACUCGUUUACUUUGAGAAAAUUAGAGUGUUCAAAGCAGGCUAUCGCCUUGAAUAUGUUAGCAUGGAAUAAUGAUAUAGGACUUUGGUUCUAUUUUGUUGGUUGUUCGAGAACCGAAGUAAUGAUUGAUAGGGACAGUUGGGGGCAUCAGUAUUCUGAAGCGAGAGGUGAAAUUCUUGGACCUUCGGAAGACUAACAACUGCGAAAGCAUUUGC
rnacentral:rRNA from 1 species